rnacentral:rRNA from 1 species
AUGGAGCCGACCUUGAAAUACCACCCUUUAAUGUUUGAUGUUCUAACGUUGACCCGUAAUCCGGGUUGCGGACAGUGUCUGGUGGGUAGUUUGACUGGGGCGGUCUCCUCCUAAAGAGUAACGGAGGAGCACGAAGGUUGGCUAAUCCUGGUCGGACAUCAGGAGGUUAGUGCAAUGGCAUAAGCCAGCUUGACUGCGAGCGUGACGGCGCGAGCAGGUGCGAAAGCAGGUCAUAGUGAUCCGGUGGUUCUGAAUGGAAGGGCCAUCGCUCAACGGAUAAAAGGUACUCCGGGGAUAACAGGCUGAUACCGCCCAAGAGUUCAUAUCGACGGCGGUGUUUGGCACCUCGAUGUCGGCUCAUCACAUCCUGGGGCUGAAGUAGGUCCCAAGGGUAUGGCUGUUCGCCAUUUAAAGUGGUACGCGAGCUGGGUUUAGAACGUCGUGAGACAGUUCGGUCCCUAUCUGCCGUGGGCGCUGGAGAACUGAGGGGGGCUGCUCCUAGUACGAGAGGACCGGAGUGGACGCAUCACUGGUGUUCGGGUUGUCAUGCCAAUGGCACUGCCCGGUAGCUAAAUGCGGAAGAGAUAAGUGCUGAAAGCAUCUAAGCAC